rnacentral:rRNA from 1 species
UUAAGCGACUAAGCGUACACGGUGGAUGCCCUGGCAGUCAGAGGCGAUGAAGGACGUGCUAAUCUGCGAUAAGCGUCGGUAAGGUGAUAUGAACCGUUAUAACCGGCGAUUUCCGAAUGGGGAAACCCAGUGUGUUUCGACACACUAUCAUUAACUGAAUCCAUAGGUUAAUGAGGCGAACCGGGGGAACUGAAACAUCUAAGUACCCCGAGGAAAAGAAAUCAACCGAGAUUCCCCCAGUAGCGGCGAGCGAACGGGGAGCAGCCCAGAGCCUGAAUCAGUGUGUGUGUUAGUGGAAGCGUCUGGAAAGGCGCGCGAUACAGGGUGACAGCCCCGUACACAAAAAUGCACAUGCUGUGAGCUCGAUGAGUAGGGCGGGACACGUGGUAUCCUGUCUGAAUAUGGGGGGACCAUCCUCCAAGGCUAAAUACUCCUGACUGACCGAUAGUGAACCAGUACCGUGAGGGAAAGGCGAAAAGAACCCCGGCGAGGGGAGUGAAAAAGAACCUGAAACCGUGUACGUACAAGCAGUGGGAGCACGCUUAGGCGUGUGACUGCGUACCUUUUGUAUAAUGGGUCAGCGACUUAUAUUCUGUAGCAAGGUUAACCGAAUAGGGGAGCCGAAGGGAAACCGAGUCUUAACUGGGCGUUAAGUUGCAGGGUAUAGACCCGAAACCCGGUGAUCUAGCCAUGGGCAGGUUGAAGGUUGGGUAACACUAACUGGAGGACCGAACCGACUAAUGUUGAAAAAUUAGCGGAUGACUUGUGGCUGGGGGUGAAAGGCCAAUCAAACCGGGAGAUAGCUGGUUCUCCCCGAAAGCUAUUUAGGUAGCGCCUCGUGAAUUCAUCUCCGGGGGUAGAGCACUGUUUCGGCAAGGGGGUCAUCCCGACUUACCAACCCGAUGCAAACUGCGAAUACCGGAGAAUGUUAUCACGGGAGACACACGGCGGGUGCUAACGUCCGUCGUGAAGAGGGAAACAACCCAGACCGCCAGCUAAGGUCCCAAAGUCAUGGUUAAGUGGGAAACGAUGUGGGAAGGCCCAGACAGCCAGGAUGUUGGCUUAGAAGCAGCCAUCAUUUAAAGAAAGCGUAAUAGCUCACUGGUCGAGUCGGCCUGCGCGGAAGAUGUAACGGGGCUAAACCAUGCACCGAAGCUGCGGCAGCGACGCUUAUGCGUUGUUGGGUAGGGGAGCGUUCUGUAAGCCUGUGAAGGUGUACUGUGAGGUAUGCUGGAGGUAUCAGAAGUGCGAAUGCUGACAUAAGUAACGAUAAAGCGGGUGAAAAGCCCGCUCGCCGGAAGACCAAGGGUUCCUGUCCAACGUUAAUCGGGGCAGGGUGAGUCGACCCCUAAGGCGAGGCCGAAAGGCGUAGUCGAUGGGAAACAGGUUAAUAUUCCUGUACUUGGUGUUACUGCGAAGGGGGGACGGAGAAGGCUAUGUUGGCCGGGCGACGGUUGUCCCGGUUUAAGCGUGUAGGCUGGUUUUCCAGGCAAAUCCGGAAAAUCAAGGCUGAGGCGUGAUGACGAGGCACUACGGUGCUGAAGCAACAAAUGCCCUGCUUCCAGGAAAAGCCUCUAAGCAUCAGGUAACAUCAAAUCGUACCCCAAACCGACACAGGUGGUCAGGUAGAGAAUACCAAGGCGCUUGAGAGAACUCGGGUGAAGGAACUAGGCAAAAUGGUGCCGUAACUUCGGGAGAAGGCACGCUGAUAUGUAGGUGAAGUCCCUCGCGGAUGGAGCUGAAAUCAGUCGAAGAUACCAGCUGGCUGCAACUGUUUAUUAAAAACACAGCACUGUGCAAACACGAAAGUGGACGUAUACGGUGUGACGCCUGCCCGGUGCCGGAAGGUUAAUUGAUGGGGUCAGCGCAAGCGAAGCUCUUGAUCGAAGCCCCGGUAAACGGCGGCCGUAACUAUAACGGUCCUAAGGUAGCGAAAUUCCUUGUCGGGUAAGUUCCGACCUGCACGAAUGGCGUAAUGAUGGCCAGGCUGUCUCCACCCGAGACUCAGUGAAAUUGAACUCGCUGUGAAGAUGCAGUGUACCCGCGGCAAGACGGAAAGACCCCGUGAACCUUUACUAUAGCUUGACACUGAACAUUGAGCCUUGAUGUGUAGGAUAGGUGGGAGGCUUUGAAGUGUGGACGCCAGUCUGCAUGGAGCCGACCUUGAAAUACCACCCUUUAAUGUUUGAUGUUCUAACGUGGACCCGUGAUCCGGGUUGCGGACAGUGUCUGGUGGGUAGUUUGACUGGGGCGGUCUCCUCCUAAAGAGUAACGGAGGAGCACGAAGGUUGGCUAAUCCUGGUCGGACAUCAGGAGGUUAGUGCAAUGGCAUAAGCCAGCUUGACUGCGAGCGUGACGGCGCGAGCAGGUGCGAAAGCAGGUCAUAGUGAUCCGGUGGUUCUGAAUGGAAGGGCCAUCGCUCAACGGAUAAAAGGUACUCCGGGGAUAACAGGCUGAUACCGCCCAAGAGUUCAUAUCGACGGCGGUGUUUGGCACCUCGAUGUCGGCUCAUCACAUCCUGGGGCUGAAGUAGGUCCCAAGGGUAUGGCUGUUCGCCAUUUAAAGUGGUACGCGAGCUGGGUUUAGAACGUCGUGAGACAGUUCGGUCCCUAUCUGCCGUGGGCGCUGGAGAACUGAGGGGGGCUGCUCCUAGUACGAGAGGACCGGAGUGGACGCAUCACUGGUGUUCGGGUUGUCAUGCCAAUGGCACUGCCCGGUAGCUAAAUGCGGAAGAGAUAAGUGCUGAAAGCAUCUAAGCACGAAACUUGCCCCGAGAUGAGUUCUCCCUGACUCCUUGAGAGUCCUGAAGGAACGUUGAAGACGACGACGUUGAUAGGCCGGGUGUGUAAGCGCAGCGAUGCGUUGAGCUAACCGGUACUAAUGAACCGUGAGGCUUAACCUU